CAAGUCGAACGGGAAAGUGGAGCAAUCCAUGAGUAGAGUGGCGUACGGGUGAGUAACACGUGGGUAAUCUAACUCUUAGUGGGGAAUAACCAUGGGAAACCGUGGCUAAUACCGCAUAAGCUCGAGAGAGGAAAGCAGCAAUGCGCUGAGAGAGGAGCCCGCGGCCGAUUAGCUAGUUGGUAGGGUAAGAGCCUACCAAGGCAGAGAUCGGUAGCCGGCCUGAGAGGGCACACGGCCACACUGGCACUGAAACACGGGCCAGACUCCUACGGGAGGCAGCAGUGGGGAAUCUUGCACAAUGGGGGCAACCCUGAUGCAGCGACGCCGCGUGAGCGAUGAAGCCCUUCGGGGUGUAAAGCUCUUUCGGCAGGGAAGAUAAUGACGGUACCUGCAGAAGCAGCUGCGGCUAACUACGUGCCAGCAGCCGCGGUAAUACGUAGGCAGCGAGCGUUGUUCGGAGUUACUGGGCGUAAAGGGUGUGUAGGCGGUUCUUUAAGUUUGGUGUGAAAUCUCCCGGCUCAACCGGGAGGGUGCGCCNAAUACUGAGGGACUAGAGUACGGGAGAGGAAAGUGGAAUUCCUGGUGUAGCGGUGAAAUGCGUAGAUAUCAGGAGGAACACCGGUGGUGUAGACGGCUUUCUGGACCGUAACUGACGCUGAGACACGAAAGCGUGGGUAGCAAACAGGAUUAGAUACCCUGGUAGUCCACGCCCUAAACGAUGCAUAUUUGGUGUGGGUCAUUCAGUUGAUCCGUGCCGGAGCUAACGCGUUAAAUAUGCCGCCUGGGGAGUACAGUCGCAAGGCUGAA
rnacentral:rRNA from 1 species